rnacentral:misc_RNA from 1 species
GAAAUGCGAUAAGUAAUGUGAAUUGCAGAAUUCAGUGAAUCAUCGAGUCUUUGAACGCACAUUGCGCCCCAUGGUAUUCCAUCGGGCACGCCUGUUCGAGCGUCAUAGUCCCAUCAAGCCCGGCUUGGUCUUGGGUGUUGCGGCUGGCAGACCCGAAUGACGUUGGCGGCGGACCCCCCCCGAACGUGAUGGUUUCACGACGAUGGGUCGGCCCGUUGCUUAGCUUCCUUCUAAGGUUGACCUCGGAUCAGGCGGGGAUACCCGCUGAACUUAA